AUUGAAGAACUGUAGAGGAACAUUUCUUAGUUCAGCAAAAUAGGGGACAACGAGAGCUCGGGCUUCAAUGGAACAAAGCCAGACUCCUAAUUCGUGACAAACAUCGUUUUACCUUCUAUCUGCCAUAAUCUCUGAGUUAAAACCCAUUGUCGAGUGGAAGGAUUUGGUAUCCUGAAAAAGUUUUCUGGGAGGGCGUAUCUGUGUAUAAUUGCCCACAGAUGAAACUUUCCCAGGAUUUUUUGUUCUUUUCGAUUACAUAUUUGAGAAUCUUCACAUAAGCUUCAUCGGAUGGGAAGGAUUUCCGGAACUGCAGCCAAAGACUAUUUCACGGAAACAGAUUCAGAGGCAGGGAUUGUCGGGACAAUUGGUGCCUCUACUGAUGAGUUCUUCAGUUCUGGAUCUGUUGUCUCAACAACUUUUACAUAAAUGAUAUUUGGGGGCUUGGACUGUUGCAGGAACUAUCACAAUUGGAUCUGAGCGAGAGUUGCUGUCAGUCGAGGCUAGAGAAUCAGAAUCAGUAAGGAUUUGCUGUGCUAGAGACGAAGGAUCCCCCGCCACUGAGUGAGCAAAGGGAUUUGCGGCUUCAUUGAGUGAAAACAAAGAUGGUGAAGGUUAUUUCACCUGCGGCAGAGGAGGGCACAAGGGUUUGGAUGGUGGAGAUUUUUUGGGUUGUUUUUUCUACCCCAUGAGGAGAAGAGGAUGAGACCGACGCUGUCGGCAUCGCCGGAGAAGAGAUGCAAAAGAGCUCAGGUUACAUUACUUUUUUCGCCCUUAGCAGAAAGACAAAAAAAAUCUUGUUAUCCAACUACUAUUUCUCGUGAUUACUUUAGUUAGUUAUUAGAACGGUAGAUAAUUUUUAAAGACUUCGCAUAGCUUUUAUAACGAUAAUGCGGAAUUUGUGUACCUUCUCCACA